rnacentral:rRNA from 1 species
AACGAACGCUGGUGGCGUGCUUAACACAUGCAAGUCGAACGAGAAAAAUUCCUUCGGGGAUUUAGUAAAGUGGCGCAAGGGUGAGUAACACGUGAAUAAUCUGCCCUCGAGAUCGGGAUAACAUGGUGAAAACUAUGCUAAUACCGGAUAAGACCACAUCUCAUAAGAGAUGCGGGAAAAAGGAGUCUCAAUCUUCACUCGAGGAUGAGUUCGCGCAACAUUAGCUUGUUGGUGAGAUAAAAGCUCACCAAGGCUACGAUGUUUAGCCGGCCUGAGAGGGUGAUCGGCCACACUGGAACUGAGACACGGUCCAGACUCCUACGGGAGGCAGCAGUGGGGAAUAUUGCGCAAUGGGCGAAAGCCUGACGCAGCAACGCCGUGUGAGCGAUG